rnacentral:rRNA from 1 species
AGGGUUUGAUCAUGGCUCAGAACGUACGCUGGCGGCACGCCUAACACAUGCAAGUCGAACGAAGUAGCAAUACUUAGUGGCAGACGGGUGAGUAACAUGUGGGUAUCUGCCCUUUGGCCUGGAAUAACACGAGGAAACUUGUGCUAAUACUGGAUAAGUCUUUACGGAGAAAGCUUUAUGCACCAUUGGAUGAGCCCGCACUUGAUUAGUUUGUUGGUGGGGUAAUGGCCUACCAAGACUGUGAUCAAUAGCUGAUUUGAGAGGAUGAUCAGCCACAUUGGGACUGAGACACGGCCCAAACUCCUACGGGAGGCAGCAGUGGGGAAUCUUGCACAAUGGAGGAAACUCUGAUGCAGCGAUGCCGCGUGAGUGAAGAAGGCCCUUGGGUUGUAAAGCUCUUUCGUCGGGGAAGAAAAUGACUGUACCCGAAUAAGAAGGUCCGGCUAACUUCGUGCCAGCAGCCGCGGUAAUACGAAGGGACCUAGCGUAGUUCGGAAUUACUGGGCUUAAAGAGUUCGUAGGUGGUUGAAAAAGUUGGUGGUGAAAUCCCAGAGCUUAACUCUGGAACUGCCAUCAAAACUUUUCAGCUAGAGUUUGAUAGAGGAAAGCAGAAUUUCUAGUGUAGAGGUGAAAUUCGUAGAUAUUAGAAAGAAUACCAAUUGCGAAGGCAGCUUUCUGGAUCAUUACUGACACUGAGGAACGAAAGCAUGGGUAGCGAAGAGGAUUAGAUACCCUCGUAGUCCAUGCCGUAAACGAUGUGUGUUAGACGUUGGAAAUUUAUUUUCAGUGUCGCAGCGAAAGCGAUAAACACACCGCCUGGGGAGUACGACCGCAAGGUUAAAACUCAAAUGAAUUGACGGGGACCCGCACAAGUAGUGGAGCAUGUGGUUUAAUUCGAAGAUACGCGCAGAACCUUACCAACACUUGACAUGUUCGUCGCGACUUUAAGAGAUUAAAGUUUUCGGUUCGGCCGGACGAAACACAGGUGCUGCAUGGCUGUCGUCAGCUCGUGUCGUGAGAUGUUGGGUUAAGUCCCGCAACGAGCGCAACCCUCACUUUUAGUUGCCAUCAUUUAGUUGGGCACUCUGAAAGAACUGCCAGUGAUAAGCUGGAGGAAGGUGGGGAUGACGUCAAGUCCUCAUGGCCCUUACGUGUUGGGCUACACACGUGCUACAAUGGUAUCUACAACAGGAAGCAAAACAGCGAUGUUAAGCAAAUCCUUAAAAGAUACCUCAGUUCGGAUUGCACUCUGCAACUCGAGUGCAUGAAGCUGGAAUUACUAGUAAUCGUGGAUCAGCGUGCCACGGUGAAUGCGUUCCCGGGUCUUGUACACACCGCCCGUCACACCAUGGGAGUUGGUUCUACCUUAAGGCAAGGUUUAAUACCCUUGACCACGGUAUAGUCAGCGACUGGGGUGAAGUCAUAACAAGGUAACCGUA